AGCAUUCUGGUCGAAAGCGAUUUGCAUCGCUCCUUGCAAGAAAUCUCUGAUUAAUGGGCCGACUUGGGCUUACACAAUUAUAUGAAUUGGCAGCGGCUUGCGUGUAAUUAGUGAUCGAUUUUUGUUCUUUUCGGCGGUGAAGUGGCCUUUGGAAAACUAGACAACUCACGGAAUGCACAGAAUGCUCAACUAUGUCACGCUCUGAACAACUUUCCGAGCAGAUUACUGUAAUUAACUUGUUCUAAUCGGUUUUCGACGCGGUGAUGAGGCAAAACUCAAAGUGUGUGGCGACUUAAGCUAAUUACAACUUACUACACAUGUGUAACCCACUCUAAAGCGAGCUUCAAGUUCAUAAAAAUAGCUACCAUUAUCCUGACUUAUAUAAUUUAUUGCGUAAACCAGUCCUGUUUAUAUUCAACUGCUAGCAACUUCAAUUGCCAACUUAAACAUCUCAUUACCAAUUCAAUGAGAAACACUCUCGCACAAACAGGGACAUCCCAUUUCGGAGGACAUAACUCAUCUCCCCUGAUUCAGUGUGGCAAAUAGGAAUAACAGGCCUGCGGCAAUGACACAAGGAGGCGCACUCAAGACAUAGCCGCACCCGCUUUCAAUGCGGAAUUUAAUUGCCAUAUAAAUGAAGGACAGCUAGAGGAGCCUCCUCCCCGAAGACUAAUUGCCGAGCGGCACAAACGCAGCACACAGUAUUGAUCGAUGUGGCAAGUCACGAUGCUGCCGCUCAACCAGUUGGGGCAAACUGUUGCAUGUGACCCACAAAUGAGGCCAACUGUAAAAUGGGCACCAAGGCGCAGGACCUAGCAAAACUGAGCCUACUUCGAAUGGUCCUU